rnacentral:rRNA from 1 species
GAUGAACGCUGGCGGCGUGCCUAAUACAUGCAAGUAGAACGCUGAAGGAAGGAGCUUGCUCUUUCCGGAUGAGUUGCGAACGGGUGAGUAACGCGUAGGUAACCUGCCUGGUAGCGGGGGAUAACUAUUGGAAACGAUAGCUAAUACCGCAUAACAGUAGAUGUUGCAUGAUAUCUACUUAAAAGGUGCAAUUGCACCACUACCAGAUGGACCUGCGUUGUAUUAGCUAGUUGGUGAGGUAACGGCUCACCAAGGCGACGAUACAUAGCCGACCUGAGAGGGUGAUCGGCCACACUGGGACUGAGACACGGCCCAGACUCCUACGGGAGGCAGCAGUAGGGAAUCUUCGGCAAUGGACGGAAGUCUGACCGAGCAACGCCGCGUGAGUGAAGAAGGUUUUCGGAUCGUAAAGCUCUGUUGUAAGAGAAGAACGAGUGUGAGAGUGGAAAGUUCACACUGUGGCGGUAUCUUACCAGAAAGAGACGGCUAACUACGUG